AGACCCGAAACCCGGUGAUCUAGCCAUGGGCAGGUUGAAGGUUGGGUAACACUAACUGGAGGACCGAACCGACUAAUGUUGAAAAAUUAGCGGAUGACCUGUGGCUGGGGGUGAAAGGCCAAUCAAACCGGGAGAUAGCUGGUUCUCCCCGAAAGCUAUUUAGGUAGCGCCUCGUGAAUUCAUCUCCGGGGGUAGAGCACUGUUUCGGCUAGGGGGCCAUCCCGGCUUACCAACCCGAUGCAAACUGCGAAUACCGGAGAAUGUUAUCACGGGAGACACACGGCGGGUGCUAACGUCCGUCGUGAAGAGGGAAACAACCCAGACCGCCAGCUAAGGUCCCAAAGUCAUGGUUAAGUGGGAAACGAUGUGGGAAGGCCCAGACAGCCAGGAUGUUGGCUUAGAAGCAGCCAUCAUUUAAAGAAAGCGUAAUAGCUCACUGGUCGAGUCGGCCUGCGCGGAAGAUGUAACGGGGCUAAACCAUGCACCGAAGCUGCGGCAGCGACGCUGAUGCGUUGUUGGGUAGGGGAGCGUUCUGUAAGCCUGUGAAGGUGGCCUGUGAGGGUUGCUGGAGGUAUCAGAAGUGCGAAUGCUGACAUAAGUAACGAUAAAGCGGGUGAAAAGCCCGCUCGCCGGAAGACCAAGGGUUCCUGUCCAACGUUAAUCGGGGCAGGGUGAGUCGACCCCUAAGGCGAGGCCGAAAGGCGUAGUCGAUGGGAAACGGGUUAAUAUUCCCGUACUUGGUGUUACUGCGAAGGGGGGACGGAGAAGGCUAUGUUGGCCGGGCGACGGUUGUCCCGGUUUAAGCGUGUAGGUGUGUGUUCCAGGUAAAUCCGGUUCACUUUAACACUGAGGCGUGACG
rnacentral:rRNA from 1 species